UGAGGUGGGGUAGGUACAGAGAGGGGCUUCAGAAGGUGCAAGGUUGAAGGCCGAGAGGAGAGGGAUUGGAGCUGGGACUAUAGGAAGGAGGGGAAGAGGGCUUGAAGGUUUGAUAAGGGCAGACAUUGUUCAGCACGGCCUCAGGCUGACCACAGGUGCCCAGCCCAGAGCCUGGGGAAUAGGUGCCGAGUAUGUGCCCACUGCAUAAGCACAGCAGGGGAGGAAUGGGGCGGGAACUGGUGGCCUAUGGUUGCUGCGAAUAUCUGCUGGAGUCAGCAGCCCCAGCAGCACCACUCCUCCCCAGUAUCAACCCAGUGUUUACUGUCAAGUCUGUGCUGCAGGCUGACAGGGAUGACCUCAUUGAGCACUUACAAUAAUCCUUUGAGGCAGGCCUAUUACGACAUCCACCAGAGAUUCAGAGAGGUUGAGGAACUUAUUCAAGGUCACAGGGUGCUGAUUCUGCCACAGAUGUAGAGGACACGCAAUCAGAAGCUGGAUCUGGAGUCGAGUCUUUCUGGCUAGAGAGUCAAACCAUACAAACAGAUGUUAGCCCUGGGGAAACCGAGGCUUGGAGAAGUACAGAGCUUUGCCCAACACUGGAAGACUGGCAGUGACAGAGCCAGAACUUGAAUACAGUUCUGCCUGUCUGUAGUCACCCUGCCCUGAGGUCCUCACCAAAAGGUCAGACACAGCCAGACUUGAAGUCUGCAGCAGUGAGUCCAGCGGGGGAGUGUGGAGUUGGAGAAGCUCAUUAGCAGAGAAGCUGCCACAGCCGUCAAGAGCCCAGCCUUGGCCAGCCCCGCCGACUCCCAGCUACGGUGUAAACAGCCUUACUAAUUCUCCAGACUCAAUCGCUGUCCCUGAUGGAUUUCCCGUCAUUACUCCUGAGACCACGGGCCACAGCUCUUAGUCCCACCCUGUCACCAUGGCCAUCAUCAUCAUCAUCUCCCUCACCUUGACUGGUGUUGGGUCACUGCCAGCGACACUCUUCCUCAUUCUGCUCCCCCCAGAAAGCACUUCUCCUGAGUAUGCAUGGGGCUUUUGGUGAUGUUAUCUCACCAGGCCGAAGCUGCUGCCUGGUGAGGUGAGCCUGGCUCCAGAAAGGGCCCAUCUGACCUGGAUGUUCCACAGAGACGGACCACAGAAGGAGCAUCAGUUAGGACAGGGAGCUGGAGCAAGCAGAGGGGCUCUUGUGGGCGUAGAGAGGAGAUGAAGGAGGCUUUUGCACGACUCUCCAUUUGUCUCAGAGAAAUGAGUAUAGUCAACCUUGGAUCCUUGGAGGGAUCUGUGCCGGGACUGCUUCACCACUGGUUGCUUAAAUCUAUGGCUGUCCAAUCCUUUGUAUAAAAUGCUGUAGAAUUUGCAUAGAGCUCUAGCAGUCCUGCAGCAUAUUUUAAAUCAUGCCCAGAUGACUUAUAAUGCCUAAUACAAUGUAAAUGCUGUGUAAAGAGUUGCUGCACUGUGUUGUUUAGGGAAUAAUAGCAAGGGAAAUCGUCUCAACAUGUUCAGUAUAGAUGUAAUCUCCCCCACAAAGAUUUUCUAAUCAAAGAUUGUUGAAUCCACAGAUGUGCAACCCAUGGGCAUAGAGGGCUGGCUGUACUCCCUGUUAUUUUUCUCUCUUUCUAUGUAUGUAUAUGUGUGUAUAGCUAUACACACACAAAUGUGUAUACACACAUACACACAUAUUAUAUUGAACGUAAUGAAGAGAUUCUGAGACUUCCAGACCUACUGUGGACUUGGAUUCACUCAUUCAUUCAACAAAUGUUUAUUUGUUUACUUAUUUACUUUGUGAGUUUGUAUGUCUACUUGCAUGUGGAAGACAGAAAUCAACCUUAGAGAUGUCAUUUCUUGGGUGCUACCUACCUGGAGCUUUUGGGGAACACCUUUUUUUGUUGAGACAAGGUUUCACCAUUUAGCUCUGGCUGUCCUGGAACUCGCUUUGUAGACCAGACUGGCCUCUAAC